AGCGAACGCUGGCGGCGUACUUAACACAUGCAAGUCGAACGGGGAUCGUCGGGUUAGCAAUAAUUCGGCGGUUCUAGUGGCGCACGGGUGAGUAACACGUGGGUAACCUGCCCUUGAGUUCGGGAUACCCCCUCGAAAGGGGGCUAAUACCGGGUACGUUCCUCGGAUCGACAGGUCUGGGGAGGAAAGGUGGCGCAAGCUGCCGCUCAUGGAGGGGCUCGCGGCCUAUCAGCUAGUUGGCGGGGUAACGGCCCACCAAGGCUAUGACGGGUAGCUGGUCUGAGAGGACGACCAGUCACACGGGGACUGAGACACGGCCCCGACUCCUACGGGAGGCAGCAGUGGGGAAUUUUCCGCAAUGGGCGAAAGCCUGACGGAGUGACGCCGCGUGUGGGACGAAGGCCUUCGGUCGUAA
rnacentral:rRNA from 1 species